GAGCGGGAGAAGGGACUGCCCUUUGGGCAGUUCGCAGAGAGAAAGGAAAGAGCUGCCUUUGCAGCACAAGGAAAGAAGGCAGACAGCUGCCCUUACAGCGUGAGCGGAAAGAAACAGGCGGGAGAAAGAGGAGACAGAAACUGAGGGGGACUGACGUGAGGACAGGAGGAUUGCAGAAAGCUGCACUUGCAGCUGGGAAGGCGCAGUCCACACGGGCAGAAGACCAGAGGCACGGGCAGACUGGCACUGAAACACUCUUUUCUCUCGGUUAAAUCUUUCCAAAUUUCUACUUUAUUUUUAAUAAUGUGUAAUUAAUUUUAUUUUGGCUAGAGGUUAAUUCGAAACCAUGUAUAUAUUUGUAAUAUGAAUUGAUUACCUUCGGUUGUGAUUUCAUAAGUUGUGAUUUCAAUUUACUUAUCCGUUCGUAUAAAAACUGAUUUGUGUAUGUUGGUUGAGAGUGCACGCUUAAUUUACAUGCAUGAAUUUGAUGCUAGAAUAUAAGUGAAUUUCACCUAAUCGUUAUGAACUUAUUUUCACAAGUAGUAAAGGUUGCUAGUCACAAUCACGUUAAGUAAAUUC
rnacentral:lncRNA from 1 species